rnacentral:rRNA from 1 species
AAUCAACGCUGGCGGCGUGCCUAACACAUGCAAGUCGAACGCGAAAGCCCCUUCGGGGGUAAGUAGAGUGGCGUCCGGGUGAGUAACACGUAGGUAAUCUACCUUCGGGUGGGGAAUAACCCGCCGAAAGGCGGGCUAAUACCGCAUAAUGCAGCGGCACCUAAUGGUGAUUAGUUGUUAAAGCGGGGGACCUUUCGGGGCCUCGCGCCUGAAGAGGAGCCUGCGGCAGAUUAGCUAGUUGGUGAGGUAAUGGCUCACCAAGGCUUCGAUCUGUAGCUGGUCUGAGAGGACGGCCAGCCACACUGGCACUGACACACGGGCCAGACUCCUACGGGAGGCAGCAGUGGGGAAUUUUGGGCAAUGGGCGAAAGCCUGACCCAGCAACGCCGCGUGAGGGAGGAAAUCCUUCGGGAUGUAAACCUCACAAGCAAGGGAAGAGAGCCGCGGGGCAAAUAACCCCGCGGUCCGACGGUACCUUGCGUAAGCCACGGCUAACUACGUGC